GCUAGAUAUCACUGCUCUCAUCAAUGGAAGUGCUCUGCCAAUUCCUCAAGUUGGACAAGUGAAUAUUAAAUAUCCUCCUAAAGAGCUGAAAGAAGACUCUUGUUCAUCACGCUUCAAAUCCCGUGAGCCUCCAAGAACCACCGAUGACAGCAUGUCUGGCUUCUCUCCUGGUUUGCUGUGUUCUCCUGUCCUCACCCUCGUGCUAGCGGCGAUACUUUUGAUACCUUGAAGCACAUCUCGCCUGUGAGCCUGUGACUUAAGAUUUUCAUCAUCAUCAUAACUACACUGUAGCUAUGUACGUAUGACUAAUAAAAGCCUUGAACCUCAGCUCAUGACGGACCCGUAAUGCAAAGUUAUUCAGCUGUUGUACGUUUACGUUU